rnacentral:tRNA from 1 species
GCCGAUGUGUCGGAAUGGCAGACGAUGUAGACUCAAAAUCUAUUGGUAGUAAUACCGUGUGGGUUCGACCCCCACCAUCGGCACUA